CUGAGUCAGGGUCUCUGGGGGCUGCCGGCUGUCAAAAGCCGUGUGGUCACCUUUGGGAUUUAUAUCUACUCAGAACUUUAGUGAUUUUGUCUGAAACAUAUUAUGAAUACUUAAUUCAAAAUA
rnacentral:misc_RNA from 1 species